rnacentral:rRNA from 1 species
UAGCAUAAUAAAUAGUCUUUUAAUUGAAGUCUAGUAUGAAUGGUCGGACAUGAAGAAAGCUGUUUUAGCUUUGAUGAUUGAAUUUUACUUUUAAGUGAAAAGGCUUAAAUUAUAUGGUGGGACGAUAAGACCCUAUAAAGCUUUACAUUUUGUUUUUAAGUUAUGAGAUAUAUGGUUUUUUAUUCUUAUUUAAUAGGGUGUUUCGUUGGGGCGACGGAAAUAUAAAUUAAUAACUGUUUUUAUUUUAAAAAUAUAUUUUUAUAGGAGAGUUGAUCCUUUUUAGAGAUUAUAAGAUAUAAGUUACUUUAGGGAUAACAGCGUAAUUUAUCUUGAGAGUUCAUAUCGACAGAUAUAGUUGCGACCUCGAUGUUGAAUUAAAGUGCCCCCAAGGUGUAGUAGUUUUGGAGGUAGGUCUGUUCGACCUUUAAAA